AUUGAACGCUGGCGGCAGGCCUAACACAUGCAAGUCGAGCGGAUGAGAGGAGCUUGCUCCUUGAUUCAGCGGCGGACGGGUGAGUAAUGCCUAGGAAUCUGCCUGGUAGUGGGGGACAACGUUUCGAAAGGAACGCUAAUACCGCAUACGUCCUACGGGAGAAAGCAGGGGACCUUCGGGCCUUGCGCUAUCAGAUGAGCCUAGGUCGGAUUAGCUAGUAGGUGGGGUAAUGGCCCACCUAGGCGACGAUCCAUAACUGGUCUGAGAGGAUGAUCAGUCACACUGGAACUGAGACACGGUCCAGACUCCUACGGGAGGCAGCAGUGGGGAAUAUUGGACAAUGGGCGAAAGCCUGAUCCAGCCAUGCCGCGUGUGUGAAGAAGGUCUUCGGAUUGUAAAGCACUUUAAGUUGGGAGGAAGGGCAGUUAGUUAAUACCUGACUGUUUUGACGUUACCAACAGAAUAAGCACCGGCUAACUUCGUGCCAGCCGCCGCCGUAAGAC
rnacentral:rRNA from 1 species